GAUGAACGCUGGCGGCGUGCCUAAUACAUGCAAGUCGAGCGAACAGACGAGGAGCUUUCUCCUCUGACGUUAGCGGCGGACGGGUGAGUAACACGUGGAUAACCUACCUAUAAGACUUGGAUAACUUCGGGAAACCGGAGCUAAUACCGGAUAAUAUAUUGAACCGCAUGGUUCAAUAGUGAAAGACGGUUUUGCUGUCACUUAUAGAUGGAUCCGCGCCGCAUUAGCUAGUUGGUAAGGUAACGGCUUACCAAGGCAACGAUGCGUAGCCGACCUGAGAGGGUGAUCAGCCACACUGGAACUGAGACACGGUCCAGACUCCUACGGGAGGCAGCAGUAGGGAAUCUUCCGCAAUGGGCGAAAGCCUGACGGAGCAACGCCGCGUGAGUGAUGAAGGUCUUCGGAUCGUAAAACUCUGUUAUUAGGGAAGAAAAAAUGUGUAAGUAACUAUGCACGUCUUGACGGUACCUAAUCAGAAAGCCACGGCUAACUACGUG
rnacentral:rRNA from 1 species